rnacentral:rRNA from 1 species
UACGUAGGCAGCAAGCGUUGUUCGGAGUUACUGGGCGUAAAGGGUGCGUAGGCGGCUAUUUAAGUUUGGUGUGAAAUCUCCCGGCUCAACCGGGAGGGUGCGCCGAAUACUGAGUGGCUAGAGUGCGGGAGAGGAAAGUGGAAUUCCUGGUGUAGCGGUGAAAUGCGCAGAUAUCGGGAAGAACACCCGUGGCGAAGGCGGCGUCUCUGGGACGGUGACGUGACGGCUGAGACGCGAAAGCGUGGGGAGCGAACAGG